UACGUAGGGUCCGAGCGUUGUCCGGAGUUACUGGGCGUAAAGCGCGCGCAGGCGGCUUCAUAAGUCUGGCGUGAAAGCCCCCGGCUCAACCGGGGAGGGUCGUCGGAGACUGUGGAGCUUGAGGGCGGUAGGGGCUGGUGGAAUUCCCGGUGUAGUGGUGAAAUGCGUAGAGAUCGGGAGGAACACCUGUGGCGAAGGCGGCCAGCUGGGCCGACCCUGACGCUGAGGCGCGAAGGCGUGGGGAGCGAACGGG
rnacentral:rRNA from 1 species